GACGAACGCUGGCGGCGUGCUUAACACAUGCAAGUCGAACGGAAAGGCCCUGCUUUCGUGGGGUGCUCGAGUGGCGAACGGGUGAGUAACACGUGAGUAACCUGCCCUUGACUUUGGGAUAACUUCAGGAAAGUGGGGCUAAUACCGGAUAGGAGCUGCCGCAGCAUGGUGGGGGUUGGAAAGUUUCGGCGGUUGGGGAUGGACUCGCGGCUGAUCAGCUUGUUGGUGGGGGAGUGGCUUACCAAGGCUUUGACGGGUAGCCGGCCUGAGAGGGUGAACGGCCACCUUGGGCCUGAGGUACGGCCCAGGCUCCUACGGGAGGCAGCAGGGGGAAAUAUUGCACAAUGAGCGGAAGCCUGAUGCAGCAGCGCCGCGUGCGGGAAGACGGCCUUCGGGUUGUGAACCGCUUUCGCCUGUGACGAAGCGUGAGUGACGGUAAUGAGUAAAGAAGCACCGGCUAACUACGUG
rnacentral:rRNA from 1 species